rnacentral:rRNA from 1 species
UACGUAGGGUGCAAGCGUUGUCCGGAAUUAUUGGGCGUAAAGAGCUCGUAGGCGGUUUGUCGCGUCUGCUGUGAAAUCCCAGGGCUUAACCCUGGGCCUGCAGUGGGUACGGGCAAACUAGAGUGCGGUAGGGGAGAUCGGAAUUCCUGGUGUAGCGGUGAAAUGCGCAGAUAUCGGGAGGAACACCAGUAGCGAAGGCGGCUCUCUGGGCCGGUACCGACGCUGAGGAGCGAAAGCUAGGGGAGCGAACAGG